rnacentral:rRNA from 1 species
ACACGGAUGGUGCGAGCGUUGUUCGGAAUUACUGGGCGUAAAGGGCGCGUAGGCGGCGAUGUAAGUCAAAUGUGAAAGUCCUCGGCUUAACCGGGGAAGUGCAUCUGAAACUGCAUUGCUUGAGUAUGGGAGAGGAAAGUGGAAUUCCCGGUGUAGAGGUGAAAUUCGUAGAGAUCGGGAGGAAUACCGGUGGCGAAGGCGACUUUCUGGACCAAUACUGACGCUGAGGCGCGAAAGCGUGGGGAGCAAACAGGAUUAGAUACCCUAGUAGUCC